rnacentral:rRNA from 1 species
AACGAACGCUGGCGGCAGGCUUAACACAUGCAAGUCGAGCGCAUCCUUCGGGGUGAGCGGCGGACGGGUGAGUAACGCGUGGGAACGUGCCCUCUUCUACGGAAUAGCCUCGGGAAACUGAGAGUAAUGCCGUAUACGCCCGCAAGGGGAAAGAUUUAUCGGAGGAGGAUCGGCCCGCGUUGGAUUAGGUAGUUGGUGGGGUAACGGCCUACCAAGCCGACGAUCCAUAGCUGGUUUGAGAGGAUGAUCAGCCACACUGGGACUGAGACACGGCCCAGACUCCUACGGGAGGCAGCAGUGGGGAAUCUUGGACAAUGGGGGCAGCCCUGAUCCAGCCAUGCCGCGUGAGCGAUGAAGGCCUUAGGGUUGUAAAGAUCUUUCAGCUGGGAAGAUAAUGACGGUACCAGCAGAAGAAGCCCCGGCUAACUCCGUG